CCUACGGGGGGCAGCAGUGGGGGAUAUUGCACAAUGGGGGAAACCCUGAUGCAGCGACGCCGCGUGUAGGAAGACGGUCCUCUGGAUUGUAAACUACUGUCCCCAGGGACGAAGAUGACGGUACCUGGGGAGGAAGCUCCGGCUAACUACGAGCCAGCAGCCGCGGUAAUACGUAGGGAGCGAGCGUUGUCCGGAAUUACUGGGUGUAAAGGGAGCGUAGGCGGGGAUGCAAGUGGGGGGUUAAAUCUACCGGCUCAACUGGUAGUAGCACUAAAAACUGCAGCGCUGGAGGGAAG
rnacentral:rRNA from 1 species